rnacentral:rRNA from 1 species
CGGCAUGCCUUACACAUGCAAGUCGAACGGCAGCACGGGGGCAACCCGUGGUGGCGAGUGGCGAACGGGUGAGUAAAGCAUCGGAACGUGCCCUGGAGUGGGGAUAACGUAGCGAAAGUUACGCUAAUACCGCAUAUUCUGUGAGCAGGAAAGCAGGGGAUCGCAAGACCUUGCGCUCUGGGAGCGGCCGAUGUCGGAUUAGCUAGUUGGUGGGGUAAAGGCCUACCAAGGCGACGAUCCGUAGCGGGUCUGAGAGGAUGAUCCGCCACACUGGGACUGAGACACGGCCCAGACUCCUACGGGAGGCAGCAGUGGGGAAUUUUGGACAAUGGGCGAAAGCCUGAUCCAGCCAUGCCGCGUGAGUGAAGAAGGCCUUCGGGUUGUAAAAGCUCUUUCGGUGGGGAAGAAAUUGCAUAGGCUAAUACCCUAUGUAGAUGACGGUACCUGGAGAAGAAGCACCGGCUAACUACGUGCCAGCAGCCGCGGUAAUACGUAGGGUGCGAGCGUUAAUCGGAAUUACUGGG